rnacentral:rRNA from 1 species
GACGAACGCUGGCGGCGUGCUUAACACAUUCAAGUCGAACGGUAAGGCCCUUCGGGGUACUCGAUCGGCUAACGGGUGAUUAACACGUGAGUAAUCGGCCCUGCACUUCCGGAUAACUGCUGGCAACGGCGGCUAAUACCGGAUAAGACCAUUUGCCUCAUGGCGUGCGGGCGAAAGUUUUUCGGUGAGGGAUGUGCUCGCGGUCUAUCAGCUUGUUGGUGAGGUAGUGGCUCACCAAGGCUUCGACGGGUAGCCGGCCUGAGAGGGUGACCGGCCACACUGGGACUGAGAAACGGCCCAGACUCCUACGGGAGGCAGCAGUGGGGAAUAUUGGACAAUGGGCGGAAGCCUGAUCCAGCAACGCCGCGUGAGGGAUGACGGCCUUCGGGUUGUAAACCUCUUUCAGCACCGACGAAGCGAAAGUGACGGUAGGUGCAGAAGAAGGACCGGCCAACUACGUGCCAGCCGCCGCAGUAA